rnacentral:lncRNA from 1 species
CCCGGGGGCCCUGGAAUGGGAGGCCAUGGUAGCUUCUGCGGAGGCUUUGGCAGUGGCAUCUGGGGCCAGGGUCCAAGGCAGAGAACGUGGACCUCGCAGAGGCAAGGCCGAGAGGACAAGUGGCUCCCCAUUACCAAGCUGGGCUGCCUGGUCAAAGAAAUGAAGAUCAAGUCCCUGGAGGAGAUCUAUUUCUUCUCUCUGCUAUCAAGGAAUCUGAGAUCGCUCACUUUUUCCUGGGAGCAUCCCUUAAUUAAGCAGACCUGUACUGACCAGCAGACCAGGUUCAAGGCAUCUGUCACCGUCGGGAGUUACUCAAGGGCAUGUCAGUUUGGGCAUCAAGUACUCUAUGGAGGUAGCCAUCAUCCUGGCCAAGCUCUCCAUCAUCCCUGUGUGAUGAGACGGCUACUGGGGGAAAAAGAUUGGAGCCCCACAUGGUCCCUUGCAGGGUGACUGGCCGCUGUGGCUCUCUGCUGGUGCACCUCAUCCCUGCCCCCAGGGGCACUGGUACUGUCUCAGCCCCUGUGCCCAAGCUCCUGAUGAUGGCUGGCAUUGAUGACUCCUCCUCUGCCAGCGGCUGCACUGCCACCUUGGGCAACUUCACCAAGGCCAUUUUUGACACCAUUUCCAAGACUCACAGUUACCUCAUCCCUGAUCUCCAGAAAGAGACAGUAUUCGCUAAGUCUCUGUAUCAGAAUUCAAGAGUCUCUGUGCAGAGGACCCAGGCUCCAGCUGUAGCUACCACAUAA